GCAUGUACAGAGCAGUGGCUGUGACAUGGGGUUUGAGGGAUGGUGAGAGAUACCUUUCUGAGACAAACUGCUGUGACUGGUGCCUGGGAUAUGAUGGAUGAGGCUACAUGGCCCAGCCUGCCCUGUGAUGUCCCCUCCUAUUGCAGGACUGCCACCACUCCUCAAGGCUGGCUGCUGUGGCAGUGAGGCAGAGCACUUCUCAGCUGCUCAAGCAGAUUAUGAAUAUGAACCAAAACACAUGAAAGUUCCAUAACUAUUGACCAGAAGGGAAAAGGAAAAAUUGCCAUGCUUCAGCAUGUCUGACAGAGAAGUUUGGGGAGAAGGAUUUUGUUGUCUGGUGCAGGUCUUUUUUGAGUUAUACUGCUCUUUCAGUUAUUGAGAAAAAAAGCACACCCAGCUUCCUUCUUUGUCCUCUUCUUUCCCCAGUGUUUAGCCAAGAGUGGCCAGCACGUCUGGGAUGUGUAGAAUUGGCAAAUUAAAUUACAAAAGUGAAUUCUGAUCCAAGUACAGAAAAACCCAGAACUUCAACCAAAAAAUGAGUGAAAACCAAACUUCUACAAAAAGCUAUGUGGUUUUGCUCUUCAUUAUCACUUUCUACAUUCAGAGCCACACACACUUUUAAUGGACUUCUUUCCAGCAGAAGGGAUGGUGCAACCCUGGAACAACCAAUUUUUGCAGAUGGGGACAUAGGGACAGAAGCAUUAAAUUGCUUCCCUAAACCUUAGAGUGACCCAUUCUGUGUGGAUGGCAGAGCUGGGUACCAAGGGAACACUGUAUCGGGGAGUUCAUGUCUCACCCCUCCCAGCAACUGCAAGCAAAACACAGAAGUAAAAAGCUUUUUUCUUUCUUGGAGCUGAGGGACCUUCUCUCUGAUCCCAGCACUCUGAGGUUACUGCACGGAUGUGAUUUAUGCAGUAAUUAAAUCUGCACAAUAUAGUUAGGCACUUAAAUGCCUCUUAAAAUGGUAUUUAAAAGAGGAAUCCUUGAGGCCCUGCAUGCCAAGGCGGUGACUCCCACUGCUCCCCACCGAGGCCAGUGGAGCACUUGGUGCUGAAGCCACAGCGUGGCCUUGAGCCAGAGUUGAGUGUCGUGAUCCCAGAAUGAAUCCAGUGUACAGCUCUGUACUUCAUGCUCAUUUGUGAGACUUUGAAGAGGAAGACAGAACGGGACAGCCUGUCCCCUUGCGGAAUAGCACCCUGGGAAUUAUUGCAUUAGGGAGAAAGGGAUUUCAUGCUGGCUCUUUAGCACCCUGUCUUGCUCCCCACCUAUUUCCCACAAAAGCAAAGGACAACGAUUGGGGGUUUCCUUUCUGGUUUUCUGCCAACUGCAGAUCAAGGACACUUUCAAUGACAGAAGGAGAUGGCAAAAUCCAAACCUCAUAAAGAACUUAUUUCUUCAUGCAGCUUUUAAUUUAUGCUUGAACUCACAGUUUCACCAUGGCAUAGAGGCCAGAAUGACACAGAUUUGUGCCAAUAAAGAUUGAAAAUAUAUAGAGAUAAUAAAAUACAGUGAUAUGAAAUUGUAAAAGCUAACAUUUUGGGAAACAUUUAGCUUUAUUUUUCCCUCCUGGAUUUGAGCCAAAUACUAUUCAAGAUUAGAAGACACCAGAGGUUGAAAGUGUAUUAAAAACCAUCUGCCAAGUCUGGGAUGUCUUUUGCCUUCUGAAGCAUUGGACACAAUCUCCUAACAGAAACUGAACUGAUGGACUGGAGCAUGUGGAUUUCUGUUUUCCCAUACUGAUGUGAAAAAAAUAACUGCAGACAUUUGUAUGUUUGAAAAAAUGCAUGCAUAUGGUCCUGGGAAAUUUACUUUAUUCAUUAAUUUAUGAACCUUAGAACUUGUCUUCGGAGCCCAAGCCCUAAAGUGGACUGAAGAUGGACAACUUUCCAUAAAGCAGCAAAGGAAGUUAGCUUGCUUAAUGACACUGCUGGCUGUUUAUUAUGCAAAGGAAUUAUCUUCUCCCCUUCACUGUUUGCAAAAAUGAGCUUGCUACAUUCAGAUUUUAAGUGUCAUAUCCAUAAAUUUAAGUUUAAUGCUGCUGUAGAGAGGCUUUCCCAGAUAAUUCAAAAGCCUAUCUCCUUGAAGUCAUAGACACUGUCAUUCUGACUAGACAAAUUUUAUGUUCUGUGUGUAAUAGCAAAGAUGGAUGAUAUGAGCUGUGCUGAGAGUGCUCUCAAGCUUUGGGAAGAUCUGUGUGGAUAUCUGAUUCUGGCUUAUGAGUCUUCCAAUCUCUAUACACUGGUACCAGAGGUUUAAGUGCAGCAAUGUUACCUAACACCUGCUUCCUGCUCUGUUAAAACUAGUACAGCAUAAUUACUUCAACUUCAAUAGAGUCAGAGUGGUUUAUACUGCCUGGACAUUUUUCCUUGCUAAGGUGGAAUUCAAGGCAAUUUCUUGAAAAACUGAGCUGAGCUCUUUUUAUUUUUCUGAAGUUUCAUCUUUAUCUAAUUUAGUUAUCCAUUAAUUCCACAAGGAUAACAGCACCUUUUAAAAGUCUGAAUUGCCCAAGUCAGCUUGAUUAAAAUUUCUCUUCCAGACACAGAACAGUUGUUGCCCAUCUCUUCAGCGUGGGCAGCAUUGCAUCAGUGAAAUGACUCUCCCAGUUCUCUUGGGAUCCUUUGAGGUGAAUACAUUGGGGACAUUAUAAGACUUGGAAAGGCAUGGGAAAAUACACACAGUAGUUAGCAUGUGGAGGAGGAAAAACUUAUUCAAACACAAAUAUUUGUUUCACCAUCCUCUUGUUAAUGUUCACCACAGUGCAGAGGGAUUUACUUCCUCAACUUCCAUUAAAUAUAUAUUAAUGGAAGUUGGGUAGAUAAAUCCCUAAGCUUCUCUAGGAACAGCUCUUCUGUAUUUAUUACUCCUCUUGAAUUUCAAUGCCCCUUAAAGCUUAAGGAACUUCAGAUUUUAUUUUACUUCUCUGGUAGUUUCAGUAAGUUGUGAUAACAUCCUGGGAACAUGACAAGUGUGACAAAGACUGUGCUCUUUAUUGGACUGAUCAUACCAGCAGCUAUCUGCAACUCCCUGAGAAAGGAAGAAACUGUGAAAAAGAGUUCUUGGGUAAUUAAUUCUUAAUACUGAUUUUUUCCAGUAUUGGUAUGACUUCUCUUAUGAAAUAUGAAUUGAUCUGUCCAAAAGGAUGAAGGAAACUGGGCAAUGUCAUUAGCCCUGGAACUGUCAAAGGUUAGUGAGAUUAAUCACUGGUUUCUGCAGAUAAUGUCCCCCAGAUUCCUAUAGAGGUCAUCCCACAGUAACUGGGACCACCCAGGAGUCACUCUGGCAGUCACACACCCACCACUGGAGCCUUUCACUGCUGGUACCAAAGCUCCUUUACAUGAGACCCCACUUGGCUCUACACACACCCUACUCAUGCAAAGUCAGACCAGGUUUCCUCACCACUUCAACCCUGGGUUUUCCAUAGCAGUCUCAGAUGUCUCAUUCCAGAGAACAAUUUGUUCACAGCACAGGAACACAGAAACAGCUUCAGCUGUUGCCUCCAAGGAGCACAAGAAUCUCUGGGGUUUUAUCCCCUCACAGUUUAAGCUUGUUGAAGUCUCACCUUUCCUCCUGAGCCUCCUGAUCCUGGUGUGUCUCUGAGGGUCUGGUCACCUGGCUGGAGCCACUGCUCCCUGCAUCCUUUGCUGUACAAAGGGCCAGCAAUUCACAGCCUCUUGCCUUGGGUUCCCACCACAAGGAGCUCCAUCUUUAGCUCACACUGCAGCUUGUAUUCCUCAGCACUACCAGUGUUAUUUCCUUCUGACUGAUGACCUUUGAAGGCAUAGAGUUAUCUGUCAAAUACAAGGUUGCUCAUAAUAGCUGCUAGGUUAGGAAUGGAUUUUACCUUACUAUUGAUUAAGGUCAUGCUCUUCCUUUCUACAAGCUGCAGUGAAGUGACAUGGUCUGUGGGCUGUCUGACUGCUUUACUCCUUUAUUACUUUAGUACUAAGCCAAAGAUGAAAGAAAUAUUUUUGAUCUUUAUGUUCUUUAUUCUCUUUUGUUCUCAAACUUUCAACUAAUUUUCAUGUCUGUAAAGAAUUUCCCCCAUUCAUCUCUGCUUUCUGGAACUGCUGUAUAAAAUAUGUGGUCUGAGCUCUGCAUGAAGAUAAUCCAGAAGCUGCAAAUGGUCUCUCUAACCUAUUCAUCUAUGUACAGUGUGUGUAGGUUAAAGAUGGGUUUUACAGAGAAGCUGUGCUUUAGACUUGUUUUAGUGUCUCUUCAAUUUAAACCUACCAGGGAGAGAUUUCACCUGUUAAACCAAAAUUGAAUGACAUUACAUGACACUUUCACACUUUUCAGCUUGGUUUACCAGCAUUCAAAGGCCCUUUCCCUCUGAGGGCAGGAAAUAGCAUGUCACAGGAACAAUCUUUUGGAAGCAAAGCACUCUUUGUUUGUCAAAAAGGUGUCAUACAGAGCACAAGAAUAAAGUCAGUAAAGAUUUAUAUGAUGAUGAUUCUUUCAUCCAAACUGAGGGUUUUUCUCUCAGACAGUGAACUGUCUCCUUAAAAGCAUGUAAUGCUCAGGAUCAGGCAAGUGCCUUUAAAUUGCCUGGUCCCUCUCUAAUCACAUGGUCUUGACUUGACUGAAUACCCUGUAACCUGAGAAUUACACCUACACUGCUAAGUGCAUAUUCUCCUGGGAGUAAAACCUGGCUCCCAGGCCAGCUGGUGUGAACUGGCUUUGGUUGCAUUGCUGGGAGCAAAUUUCAGAGCACACUGACUGCAUUCUCCCUACACAAUCCUUGGCCCCAGACGUCUUCUACAUCCCUUGUCACAGCUCUGUGAUUUUAAAAUACAAUUAUAUUUUUGGGUGCAAUUUAUUCAUUUCAGUGCUUAAAAUUAAUGAUGAAUGCCCAAGUAUUAUAAACACUAGCAAGCUUUAUAUUAGCAAGCUUUCCUUAAAGACAAACCACACUGUAACAGGAAGCUUUUAAGGUGUUAAUUCCUUCCCUUUUCACUGUUGAUAGAUUUAUUUUUUUCUCCUUACUUGGCGGUUCUCCAGAAUUACCCAUGUUUUUUUCUAGGCUUUAAUUUUAUCUCCCUCUCUAAAGCAGAGGGAACCUAGAAACAGAACAACAUAGUAAUUCAGGAGUACUGGAUAAGUUUCAGGUUUUGGACACCUUUGCAUGACACAGGACAAAAAGAGUUUUCUCAACUUGACUCUGGAUGCAUCUUAACUAUGUUGCCAUGGUGCUCUGCCUGCCUAAUACUGUGUUAGUGCAAAAAGGAAUUUCCUCACCCAGGCUGUUGUGUAGAGCCAUGUGAAAUGACUUAUCCCUUAGGAAUCAAAUUGUUCAAGAAUUUCUGUACCAUUUUGCCUUUUUCAGGCAAAACUGACAGUUGAGGAUGGAAUGUGUUCUCUUGAAUCAUUACCAUUGCCAAAGAUACACAAGAAAGGGAGAUUUUAGAGUGAGCUAUGAGAUUCCAAGUAGAGUUUGCAUGCAGAGUUCUACAAUAUUUAUGAAGUCACUGUGUUUGAUCUAGAAAUCAUGAGAAAAAGCAAACACAGAAUUCUGUCACACCAUGAUUUUUUCAAAACUAAGUCACAGUCCCUAGUGUAAAAUAUCCUAAAAUAUGUUAAAAAUUCUUGUUAUUAGUACUACCAAAUGAGAAAUGUAGUAAAAUAGCAGUCUGCUCAAAUCACCAGAGAUCAAGAGCAUACUGGAUCUUCCUUUGUAAAUAAAGAAGUAGUGUAGGACUUUUAUUCAAUUCUUACAAAGAAUUUUAUUUUUUUAGCUGUGAUGUAAAUCAGGACUAACUCUCCUUUUAUCACCAGAUGUGCCUAGCUAUGUCUAAGAAAAUAUUAUAUUUUAAUGCUGUAGAGUAUCUUAGAAAAUGAAUGGUCUUGGGAAAAAUAUCAAGUGCAAAAAUCUCCUUGUACAAAUCCCAAGUAAUAAUAAAAAUUAACAAAAAGACACCAGAUUCUUCAUGCCUGCUCCAUCAGUUCAGAAGCUUGCAAGAAAUGGACAUCCAGGAGUGUAUUAAAGUGUCGCUGCUACUUUAACAGACGAAGAUAAGUGAGCUUUCAGAAAGUCUUGAAUUUACUGACCUUCUCUUCCAAUUUGAGCUAAUUCAUUAGCUUCAUAAAAGCCUUUCACCACUCUCUCAAUAAUUAUUUUUUUCCACGUAGUUGAAUUCUAGAUUAGUAUGCAGCCCUCUGAAGUAACGAGAGUGUUGUAAGCAUUUUUUCUAAUGGGUGGAUCUGAAAAUCACUUCUCCUGAUGGCUGUGAUAGAUCUGUGGAGAAUUUUCUGUGAUUCCUUUGGGGAAUUUUUCUACAAGACCACUCCAUGCUUUUAUCUUGCCAAGUGUUCAAUGAGGCAACAUUAGUAUUGCACCAGAAUAGAUGGACAGUGCUCUACCAUAGCUACAGGUUUCCAAUUUGGUUUCAAAAGUAUGAAGUACAUGGAGCUUUUCUUUCCCUGAAGGCAACUUAGUGAUACCCUGGGGAUCCUCAGCUUGCCCUUAUUCAUAAAAUGGGAUCCAUAAUGACUAAUAUUUCUAUACUUAUGGGCUUCUAAGCUUUCUUAAAUGACCACUUAUACUGAAAGACAAUUUCUGUUUCACUUCUUUAACAUUUGGCUGGGAGAUGACAUAUUUCAGUUGUAGUAGGUGGAGUUCUGCAUCUUUCUAAUGACAAAUGUGCACUGCAGUUGUUGGAAGGCAAACCAUGCUACAAAGCCACCAUAUAUUAUGGCCAUGCUAUUCCAACUAUUUGUUACCAGAAUGUCAUUAAGGUUGUAAAGGUUUAAUGGAAUUUGUUCACGUUAGAUAUACAAAAACUGUGAUCUGAGCUCUAUUGCCUGCAGAAGGUUUUUACUGCCUGAGACAGUGCCUGAUAGGAAGAUGGUGAAACAGAUGCAAGAGCAAGAGAUAACUUCCUUAUCUGCAUGCUGCUAGGAAGGGAAAGGGUGUUAUGAAGUGGUUUGUUGCUGAAAUAAGCAAGUUUUCAGGUGCAAAUGAAAAGCCUGAGAGAAGAAUCCUACAUUGGCUAAACUCCAUGGAUCUGUUCUAGCUUCAGCCUGGUCUGCUCGCUAAUGGCUAUUCUUUAUCCAGUUUUGGACACCAUUAGAUAGCAAUAUCCUGGAAUGGGUUUAAAACUCUGUCAAGGAUAAAAAUAAGCUCAUUUUUUUUCAAACUGCUAUUCCUACUUUUUCAAAUUUUUAAUGUUUUCAACACUGUUGUAAAUCUGAUUUAUUCUAGAAGUGUAUAUUUGUUGUGGUUACAGUAUAUCCAAAGUAAUUCACAAAUCCUGCUGUAAAUUUCUGUCUCCUUCAGUUUAGAGCAGUAUUGCCUCAAAAUAGAGUAAAAACCUCAGGGUUUGGCGUAUGAAUCAUCACCUUUCCUUGUGUCUUCAGAAAACAGUUUCUUGGAUAUGCAUCAGGGAAAAAUAUUUUUGUGACUAUACCUGAUUUUUGAUCCUACUCUGCAAUAUCUCUUGCAUGUGCAUGUGUCUAUGAUUGCUUGCAUGAUUAUAAUUACUACAACAUUGACUAUUAAUGUUGUGGCUCAAGUGGGAAGAUGGGUAUAGCCAACAUCCACAAACUUUCCUAGUGACACAA